GACAGAGGGGGCAAGCGUUGCUCGGAAUUACUGGGCGUAAAGGGCGCGUAGGCGGGAUGGCAAGUCGGUCGUGAAAUCCCUCGGCUCAACUGAGGAUCGUCGAUCGGUACUGCCGUUCUUGAGGAUUGCAGAGGAGACUGGAAUUCCCGGUGUAGCGGUGAAAUGUGUAGAGAGUCGGGGAGGAACACCGGUGGCGAAGGCGGGUCUCUGGGCAAUUCC
rnacentral:rRNA from 1 species